AUGGAGACCAACGAUGCUGUUCCUCUGCCCAAUCAUCUUUCUUUGCAUCCUCAACGUUCCACAUCUGAUUGCAGACGCUUGAGGCAUCACCGCAUCAGAGAUGUUCUUACUUUACUGGCAUGUUCUUCAAAGCUUCAUUGGAUCCAUGCGCAAAAACAAAACAAAAAGCUUCAUUGGAUCCAGGGAUUAGAAGGGGAGACGGGGAAUGAGUGUUGUAGCCUUGCAGAUGUGGGAAGCUACAUCGACAAUUCGACAUCAAGCCAUAUGCCUAUAUUCAGGUGCUUUUCUCCUUGUAUUGACUGUUUUUCUGUAAUUUUUUGGUGA
rnacentral:rRNA from 1 species